rnacentral:lncRNA from 1 species
CCCCGCUGUCGUAGCGUCCCCCAUGCCUGGGGUGGUAGCCUCGGCGCACCCUCUCGUCGAGGUGGGCUCGACGGUUGCGGUGGUGGUGCUCGUUGCCGAGGCGACCCGGGGCCGCAGGCGCCGUGUUGCACGUGCGCCCGGUGUGGACCGAGGCUUCCCGCACGAAUCGGGAAGUCGCGGCGCGAUGCUCCGAGGGGUACCCCUGCCUUCGGGAGGCAGAGCUUUCGGCCCGUCGGACCGCGGCAUCCUCCAGGAGAUUCUUGAGCUCUCCCUGGAUACGCCGCCCUUCAGUGGUCUUGCUGCUGCAGUCAGGUUCUGGCUGACCCCACUGGAAGCCGGUGGCGGCCUUGCCCUGACAUUGGGCAUCGCGCGGAGUAGUAUUGCUGCUGCAGCCAGGUUCUGGCUGACCCCACUGGAAGCCGGUGGCGGCCUUGCCCUGACGUCGUCGGCAAUGCAGUGCUGGAUGCCCUAGGGUAGAUGACGUGCUUCUCCGGCCGGAGCUUGGUCUGCCCAUUCCUGGCCGAUGUUCCGCCGGAACUGCUCAAGUGUUCCUGCUCCCUCGUUGAGCCUGGCCUGCAUCUCGCGGAUUUGCUUGAGCUGUGCGUCCUGACCCCCCGCAGGGACUGGGACCACAGCUAGCUCCCGAAGGAUGUCAACGCGAGGCGCGGGCCUAGGGGGAUCGCCGUUUUCCAGCAUACCAAGAUGGUUGCCUUCGCCGAGACCCCCUAGAUCGACGUGGAAACAUUUACGACUUGGGCCGCAGUCUUCGUCGCCGAAGCUGCGGCUACCAUCGGAACAAUCGGAGAGGCAGUAGUCGCACGCGGUCAUGAAGUCCCGCAUGGCACUGGGGUUACCGAGCCCGGAGAAAUCCCAACAAAAGUCGGGCUCGUCAUCUUCCUCGGAACCCGAGGGUCCGUAGGUCGAGACAGCCGUCAGUCUGUCCCAGGGCGACCACAUAUGAUACCCUGGAGGGUUGGUACAUGCCUCUAUGAAAGCUUCCACCGAAGCGAGGUCGCUUGGUGGGUCGAAGCUGAAUCCAAAAGGCACGAGAUGGGAAUCGGUCAGUACCUCUUGGUCGACAGGCGGCGGCGAAGUCGCGUCAGGGGCGGACUGCACCGUUGUCUCAGGUACGAGGGCGACGCCCAGCAAGUCCUUCGCGAGCGUGCUGGCGUCGUUCGUCUGCUUGGGGUUGGCGUGUUGCGGGGAAACGACGCUCGUCUUCGUCUCAGACGCAAGGUCGAAGCCCGACGUGUCCCCCGCUGGGGCGCCGGCGUCGUCGACUUGCUUGACAGCCGACGAGGUGCCGCCUCCUGCCUGCCCAUGGUUGCCCCGCCUCCUCCUCCGUCGGUGGGGGAGGUGACAGGACAAACCCGGAUGUUGUUCUUCCGCCAUGUGGGGAAGACGUCGUUGACUCCGCCGCCGGCGGGCUAGCUGACGGCCGCCAUUGUCGCUGUCGCGCGGCGGAGGAAGGAAUAUCAUGUCGUAGCUGCCAUCGAGGGACAUGAACUCAAGACUCCCGAAACGGAGCAUCGUCCCGGGUUGGAAAGGUUGCUGGAGACUACCCAUCUGGAGCUUGACGGGAAGCUGUUCGUCAACACGCAACAGGCCCCUACCUGGCGCGCCAACUGUCGGCAUUUCGACCCCAGGGGGUCCCUGGACCGACGAGUAAAUUGUCGCUGCGUGUCCCAGCCCAGAUGGGUCAGCACGAGACGGGACAUAAAGGGGGGAGAACAGUAAGGGGAAAUCGCGACCUUCGUGUUGUCCUGCGCCCAGGACGGAUGUAUGCGCUUGAAGUAGGGGGUUACAAGCGUUCGCGUGGGAGAGAGAGAAAGCGAGAGCCUUAUGCGUCGGCCCAUUCUCCCGCGUGGCCAACCUUCUCGUACGAGAGCCCUGGACCUUCCUUUUAUAGGCGUAAGGAGAGGGUCCAGGUGUACAAUGGGGGUGUAGCAAUGUGCUAACGUGUCUAGCAGAGAGGAGCUAGAGCCCUAAGUACAUGCUGUCGUGGCAGUCGGAGAGGUUUUGGCACCCUGUUCAUGUGAUGUCGUGGUCGUCGGAGGAGCGCUUGGGCCCUGUGGAAGGACAGCUGUCGGGGCUGUCGAAUCCUUGCUAACGUCUCCUUACUUCCGUAAGGGGCUGAGAGUCACCGUCGUCAUGGAGCACGCGGGGCGCCAUCAUUAUUUGUUUACCGGGGCAAGCCAGAUGGGACGCCGGUCUUGUUCCCCGUAGCCUGAGCUAGCUAGGGGUAGGGUAAUGAUGGCCCCCUAUGACGUGGUCGGUCCGAGCCCUAGGUCGGGCGAGGCGGAGGCUCCUCCGAGGUCGAGGUCGAGUCCGUCUUCCGAGGUCGAGGCUGAGUCCGAGCCCUGGGGUCGAGCGAGGCGGAGUCCGUCUUCCGAGGUCGAGGUUGAGUCUGAGCCCUGGGUCGGGCGAGGCGGAGACCGUCUUCCGAGGUCGAGGUUGAGUCCGAGCCCUGGGUUGGGCGAGGCGGAGACCGUCUUCUGAGGCCGAGGCUGUGUCCGAGCCCUGGGGUCGGGCGAGGCAGAGUCCGUCGUCCAGCGUCGAGGUUGAGCCCGAGCCCUGGGGUCGGGCGAGGCGGAGCUUCCUAUGGCGCCCGAGGCUGGACUUAGCUGCUGUCAGCCUCACUCUGUCGAGUGGCACAGCAGUCGGAGCGACGCAGGCGGCGCUGUUUUCUUGUCAGGUCGGUCAGUGGAGCGGCGAAGUGACUGCGGUAACUUCGGCUCUGUCGACUGAAGAGCGCGCGUCAGGAUAAGGUGUCAGGCGAUCCUUGCAUUAAAUGCUCCUGCGAUACGGUCGGUUGGCGUGGCGAUCUGGCCAAGGUUGCUUCUCUGCGAAGACUGGGCCUCGGGCGAGCCGAAGGUGUGUCCGUUGCUUGAGGGGGCCCUCGGGCGAGACGUGAAUCCUCCGGGGUCGGUUGUCUUUGCCCGAGGCUGGGCUCGGGCGAGGCGAGAUCGUGUCCCUUGAGUGGACUGAGCCUUGACCUUAAUCGCGCUCAUCAGGCCUUUGCAGCUUUGUGCUGAUGGGGUUACCAGCUGAGAUUAGGAGUCUUGGGGGUACCCCUAAUUAUGGUCCCCGACAUGUAGACGUUGUGUACAACACAGAAAGGUAAACAGUGCAGCUAGAACUUCAAAUCACUACCGGAAUCCGAGGCUUUGCCGAGUGCCUUUUGUCGGGCACUCGGCAAAGACAGCUUUGCCGAGAGCCACACUCAGUAAAGUUAAGCUCUCGGCAACGAGCCUCUUUAUCGAGUGCUGGACACUCGGCACAGGACCCCACUCGGCAAAGACACAUUUGCCGAGUGUUUAACACUCGGCAAAGGCAGCGCUCGGCAAAGGGCCGUCAGCGGCCGUCCCCGAGCUGACGGCCGUCAGUUUUUGCCGAGAGCCGUGGGUUGACACUCGGCAAAGAGUCUUCUUUGCCGAGUGUCUUCUCUAGACACUCAGCAAAGUAUAUUUUUGUUUUUUUAUUUUGUCUCCCAAACUUUUUGUGGUAUGUUCCUACACUAUGUAGACCUACAUGUAUCAUUUGUGGACAAUUAUCACUAUGUUUGCAAUAUCUAGUAGAUUUAGUUCGUUUAUUUGAAUUUCUUCGGAAAUUCAUAUUUGAACUGUAGGUCACUCGAAACUUGGAAAACCGUGCAUGCAAAAAUGAUAUUCAUGUUACUUACCAUAAGUUACGGCAGAUUCCAGGAGCGUACCGGAAACUUCGAGCAACAUGCUCACUAAACAUGGCCGUGAACUUGCCAUCCACAUGUUUAAAAAUUGUAUAAAACACAAACAAAGUCAGAAAAUCAUGAAACUUGUCCACUUGUCAUGAUAUCAUAUGUACAGACUAUGAUAAAAAUUUUAGAAUGUUUGGAGAAAGUUGUGAGACACAAUAUGUAGAAACCUAAGAGAUCUACAUUGAAACUCUAUGAUUUCAUGUGUAGUUCUCUUAGGUUUCUACACAUUGUGUCUUACAACUUUCUCUAAACAUUCUACAAUUUUUAUCAUAGCCUGUACAUAUGAUAUCAUGAUACGUGGACAAGUUUCAUGAUUUUCUGACUUUGUUUGUAUUCUAUACAAUUUUUAAACAUGUGGAUGGCAAGUUCAUGGCCAUGUUUAGUGAGCAUGUUGCUCGAAGUUUCCGGUACGCUCCUGGAAUCGGUCGUAACUUAUGGUAAGUAACAUGAAUAUCAUUUUUGCAUGCACGGUUUUCCAAGUUUCGAGUGACCUACAGUUCAAAUAUGAAUUUUCCGAAGAAAUUCAAAUAAACGAACUAAAUCUACUAGAUAUUGCAAACACAGUUAUAAUUGUCCACAAAUGAUACAUGUAGGUCUACAUAGUGUAGGAACAUACCACAAAAAGUUUGGGAGACAAAAUAAAAAAAUACAAAUGUACUUUGCCGAGUGUCACUUGGUGACACUCGGUAAAGUAUACUUUGCCGAGUGCCGCCCAGGUAGGCACUCAGCAAAGAAGUGUAAAGUAUACUUUGCCGAGUGUCGCCGAUCUGACACUCGGCAAAGCUUAUUUAAAAAAAAUCUUUGCCGAGUGCCAGAUCGCGGGCACUCGGCAAAGAAGUAAAAUAUACUUCGCGCCCGGGUUCUUUCUUCUUCUUUCUCUCCUCUCACUCUCUCUGUUUAACCGCCGCCGCCUAAUUCGCCGCGCCGCCGCCGCCACGCCGCCGCCGAUGUGCCGCCCGCCCGCCCGCGCAAGCCGCGCCCGCCGCGCGCCGCCGGCUCGCCGUGCCACCGCGAGCGCCGCUCGCCGCGCCGCCCCACCGUCGUCCUGCCGUACGCCACCGUCUCCCCCACCCGUCACCGUCUUAAGGUAUAAUUUUUUUUAAAUUAUGUAUUAAUUUUUAUAUUAAUGUAUUUAUGUUUUAUAGAUUAAUGUAUUGAUGUUUUAAAUAUUAUGUAUUUCAUAAACACAUGUUUAUAUUAUGUUUUAUCCUAUCCACCACGCCGUCACCGACCCUCACACAACACACUCCCACAACACACUAUCACAUUCUAUCCAUCACGCCGUCACCGACCCUCACCACGCCACUCGCACAACACACUCCCCAUCCUAUCCACCACCGCACCGACCUUCACCACACCAACGUCUACAAUUCCUCGUCGUCGUGCCAUUGAUUUGAAUAUAUAUAUAUAUAUAUAUAUAUAUAUAUAUAUAUAUAUAUAUAUAUAUAUAUAUAUAUGAUUGCCGGCCAUCGUGCCGUUGAAUUAUUAGUGGAAGACAGCCAUCGUGCUGAUACUUUUAUUUGCAGGAUUUCGAAACCUCCCCGUGCAGGGGAGGUGCUGCCGAAAUUUUCGGUUGCUAGGCUUCUGUUAGAGGAUGGAGAACCGUGAGUGGAUGUACACGGGCCGUAGAGGAAGAAACAAUGUCACCACUGAAUGGAUUAGAUAGACCGAUGAUUUCGUGGAACAGGCAUAUGGCGAAGCUGCUAAAGGAGCGAGUCUAGUCCCAUGCCCGUGCAGCAAAUGUGCCAACCGGAAAAGAAAACCAAAGAAGGCCAUGGUAGAACAUAUUUGGAAGAAUGGAUUUACGUCGGGCUAUACUCGGUGGAUAUUUCAUGGUGAAGCGCAUCAUACGAGAGAGGAGGUGUUGAGACAACGUGUCGAGGAUUAUGACGCGGAUGCGGGGGUAGCAGAUAUAUUGAACGACUAUCAGGAGGCAGAGUACACGGGAGGAUGUAUGGAUGACGAGCCAGAGCCGACUGCAAAGGCAUUCUACGACAUGUUCGACGCGGCACAGAAGCCCCUUCACAGCCAGACAAAGGUUUCUCAACAGAAGCCCCCUCAAGUGACGAGACAGACACAUUCUAAUCUUGGGAUAGUCGAAAUUCGACAAGAUUCCACCUUAGCAGGAGACGAUGUCUAUAUCGUGGCCCAACAGGCCACACAAGUGUAUUAUCUCCCAUAUGCGUGUCAAACGAAAGAACAUCUUAAGGGUUGGGAUGUUGUGUAUAAGGUAUCGCCGCACGGGAGGUUACCUGUUUCUAACGAUGAAGAUUACAACUUAGACCCGGACACAUAUGAUGGAGAGUUCUUCCAAGAAGAUGGGCUAGAAGGGCGAUUUGAGAUAGACUUAACUGAAGCUAUCGGAAUGGACGUAGAUAUUGAAAUGGUUGUUGAUGAGGAGGAGGAUGAGGUGCAAAAUGAUAAUGACUUAGUAAUCCUUGAAGGCAAUGACAUUAAUGACGAGGUUGCGUCUUCCGAUGGUGUUGAGAUUGAAAUGCUUGAUAGUGAUGAUGAGAGUUAUGAUCCGGCUAACCCCGACACAUAUGAAGAUUAUUUUUAAUCGAUGUAAUGCUAUAUGACUUUUUAUUUCACACCUAUUUUUAAAUACAUCUUUUUUAUAUGUGCUUAUUUGUUUACUCUUAAUUGCAGGUUGUUGGACAAAUAUGGUGGGUGGUUGGCUGAGUAGGAGGAGGGGGAGGAGGCGUAGGACGGCGGACGAGGCAGAGCAGGCAGCGCAGCCUGACGAGGCAGAGCAGGCAGCACAGCAGCAGGCGGCGCCUCAGGACGACGACAACCAGCAGCAGGACGACGACGACCAGCAGCAGGACACCUCAGGUUCAGGCGGCUCUAGUUCGAGGAGCAUCUACCUGCGAGGCCUCGCGAGUCUCCCUCAGCGUCCCAUACUUCGGGACAGGCGGCCGCUGAUUCGGCCGGAAGGGGAGAGGUAUGUAACUUUAUGUUCUUCAUUCUUGUUCAUAUUAUGUGUUCAAAAUCAUAAUAUAAACUAAUACUUUUUAUUUAUCACUUGGACAGGUCUUGGACGGUUUUGGAUUAUGCUGGGGGUCAUCGUCGCCCCCCCAAUGGCAUCCUUGGUCUGAUGUGCAGGGAACACUUCCCUGGACUUGUGGAGUACGCCGGAGUGACGGGCCCAGCCUUCACCUUCGACCUCUACGCCAUCGCCCCCGAUGCAGUAGACCGGGACGGCAAGGAAUUCAAUAACAAGGCGGAGCGGGUGAAGCAAGAGCUGUGGGUAAGUCUGAGUAUAAUGUAAAAUAUGUCGCAUUCGUUGCAAGUUCUUGAAAUAAUGUAUGGAUACAUCGUUUUUGUAUGCAGGAUUUCUUCAGAUGCGAUGCUGGAUAUGAAGCUAGGGCGGAUGUGGUGGCCACCACGAGCUGUAAGAAGCUCAUCGUGGACAUGCACUAUGAGACCCGCAUCCAGGCCAUCAUCACCUACCACGGCUCCGUCCUUGGGGAGAGGGUGACCAAACCUCAAGCCCGAACCAUGUCGUUGACCAGGGAGCAGUACCUGCAGGUAAAGUCAUGCAUGUUUGGUACCAGUACUCCAUGCAUGAAUUUUAUUUUAUCUUCUGAUAUGCACUUUACGUGUAUACUUUGUAGAUGAUUCCACAUUGGUGCGCCGCACAUCCUCUGUGCUGGGAGCAGAUGGUGGAUAGGUGGUGUUCGGCUGAGUGGGACGAGGCGCACACCGCUAGCCGGGAACGGCGUUUGAUGAUGCAAGGCCCCUCCCACCACCAAGGCAGCCGGAGCCUGGGCCAAUAUGCCGAAGCAUGGGUACGCCAUCGUUUUUAUUUAGAUAUAUAGCACUGAGUUAGAUAUUAUUUCUAACUAUCUCGUUGGUUUUCGUUGCAGUCGGCGUCACAUGGUGGCCGGCCUUGCUCCACCUUCUCGGCCUAUGCUAUGGCCCAUAAGGGUAAGGCGACGCCCGACGUCACCUACAACCCGGAUGACGGGACCGAGGCCUACACCAACCCCGCCAUCUACAACCGCCUCCAUGACAACACCGCCAUGGCGCAGGAGGUCCAUGGCCCAGACUAUGAUCCGAGCACCGAGCCGAUCGACCCCGAUGUGCUCAUGAGGGUCGGAGGAGGCAAGAGACAUGGGCGGUACUAGAUUGCCGAUGGGGCAAUCGACUCGUCCUCCACUCCCACUCUGUCUCAGGUGAGAGCAAGGAGCACGGGCUCGAGUCUAGCCAUACGACCUCGGCACGACAGCUCACAGCAUCGCAUAUAGCAACUCGAGGUUAGUGCUUCUGUAACUCGUCCUUUCUUGAGUUAUAUACCUUCUCUUUGAGUUACUAUAACGUUGGCUUGUAAUAUUACAGACCCAACUAGAAGAAGAGAGGAGGGAACAUCAAGAGAUGGAGGCGAGGAUAAUGGCGGAGCGGGCGACGGCUGAUCAGAGGAUGGCGGAGAUGUUCUAGUACAUGCAAAGUCUUGGCGCCGCACAGGGCAUCGCUCCGCCACCUCCAUUGUUCCCUGCAGUUGACCCUGCUCUCUUCCACACUCCUGUGAGUAUCAAAAUUGUAGUUAGAUGUUUGUAAUGCAUCUGGUAUAACACAUGCAAUCUCUUCUCUGUGCAGGGCCAAUCUGGGGCGGCAUCCAACAACCCUCCGGAAGGGUUCAGCCCAACGCAGCCCCGGUCAAACCGCCCACCUCCAUGAGUGUUGUGUUUUCAUUUUUUUAGACUUCAGAACUUAUGUAUAAUACUUAUGUCUGUGUUUGAUACUUAUGUGAGAGCUUGCGACGUUUGAGACUUAAGUUUGUGUUUGAUACUUGUGUUGAACACUUAUGUUUGUGAUGGAUAUUUAUGUUUGUGGUGACGGUUUUAUGUUUGUGUUGGCUAUUUAUGUCUGUGAUGAUAUAUGUGAUGUAUAUAUGUGAUAUAUAUGUCAUAUCUUCUGUUUGUGUGGAUGGAAUACAAAAACAAAUAAAAAAGGUAUAUACCGGUCACUUUGCCGAGUGUAACACUCGGCAAAGAGGCGCUUUGCCGAGUGUCAGGGUCAUAACACUCGGCAAAGAGCCAAAACCUGGGCACCGGUUUAGGUAUUUUGCCGAGUGUUAUGUCGCUGGCACUCGGCAAAGAGGCAGGCUUUGCCUAGUGCCGCGCAGAGCACUCGGCAAAGAGCCUGACAUGGGGACCCUCCCUGGCGGGUUCUUUGCCGAGUGUCCCAGGUGGGUAGACACUCGGCAAAGGUGACGCCUUUGCCGAGUGUCAUGUUUGACACUCGGCAAAGAAGCCGUCUCCGUUACCUCGUCGCCGUAACGACCACUUUUCUUUGCCGAGUGCUCCCUGGCACUCGGCAAACCUCUUUGCCGAGUGCCCGAGAAAAAGUACUCGGCAAAGAAGGCUUUGCCGAUGUACUAUUUGCCGAGCCUUCUUUGCCGAGUGUUUUUAAGGCUUUGCCGAGUGUUUCGGGCACUCGGCAAAGGGCCCGUUUUCGGUAGUGAAUAGACUAAACCUUCACUAUAUGAUUAAAAUAUCCUACUAUUAUAUUGGAUGCACGAAUACUUCUAAACAUCACAUCCAAACUUCAAUAAACAAAGCAUAUUCCUCACUAUUUUGUAUGUAAAUAUUAUGUGUGCCUUCUUCUAACCUUACCAUCGAUAUCUAUGUAUUGUCAUUAAUAUAACCAUCUAUAAACUCAUCCGUUGCUACAACAGAUUCUCAUGUUAUGCAUUUAAAAUCAUUUGGUUCGGUACGGUGAAAAUAUAUAACAUAAAAAAGUUAAACUUUGAUGUCGGAUUCUCAUGAUAUGCUAUACUUUGACAUCCAGUUGACUUGUAUAUAUACUAGUUAUGUGCCCGUGCGUUGCUACGGAAGUAAAAAAAUUGUAUGAAAUAUAGAUACGAAAAGACAAGCAUCAAUGUGAUAUGCAAAAUAAGUGUGGUAAACAUUAUCAAUAUUGCACAAAUUACUUGUAAAGAGUCAAUAUAGAAUUUUUAAUGAUAGACAAAUAAAGUCGUUGUCAAAAAGCUUAGCAAUUGUCACAUUUAUUCAAGUGAUCUAGGAGUAUAGAAACGAAGACAUUCUGAUCACAGAAACCUAGUCAUACUUUUUGGUUUCUGUAGUCAUGAAGAUGAGAAAUCACUUAACUUGGAGUACUUACCUAACAAAAGCUUACAUUAUGUAUUAAAUAAGUUAGACCAUCAAAAUCACGGUAAACUGCAGCACAAGGUUUUUUUAUUUGCAAAACAAAAAACAUGUAGAUAAAACAAUAAUACACUAAUACUAUCAUUUUCAAUUUUCAAUGUGGAAAUAAUGUUACAGGAUCAUAGGGCCAGCAUGGAUAUGAAGCAAUCUGGUCUUGACUGAAGCUAAAUCCAAUGUAUAUUGGUCUUGACUGAAGUUGAAUCCAUUGUAUUUGUUCAGUAACAGGCUAUAUUUAUCUUAUAAACAUGUCACAGUUGAUCACUAUAUUUAUCUUGAAUAAUCAAGAUGUGAUUAAGCUCUAAUACCAGCAACAACGGCCACAUUUUAGUCUCUUUAAACCGGGUAGAAUCGACCAACAUAAAUGAACAAAGUGCAUAUGUCAAUUGGCCUACUUCUGUACAACAGUGGUGAUGUUGAGUGCCCUCAGGGUGAUCCUAUCCAAUAGCUCUGCCACUCACACCAGGACCCAUCAGUUUUUUAAGAGUGAUCAGCUGCAAUAUUCCAACAGGCAGGAUGAGAAGAAAAACACGAGGAACAAAUAAUUUUCUAGCAAGUGCAUUCAUUUAGAAAUGGUCAAUGAUUAGGUAUAUAGUUGAAACAUCCAGAUUCCUGGUAACAAAGUAGCCGAGUAAUGAAAGGAGCAAAAAUAUUUAUAAGCAUUGUGUACAGUUUGAAACACUUGUACAAUACAGCUAACAAGGGAACCGAGUAAUGAACAUUUACUUUAAAUAGAUUGCUGGUAAUUGAAGGCAUGCUCAGUUGCUCACCACACCUCUGCUCCUUUUGUGGAGCCAAACAGCACAGGAAUUGCAGCAAGCGAAGCCUGUUCAUGGCACCAAAAAAUAUGGGGGCAAGUUAGCACCUUUUUGUGCAUUAAUUUGCAAGAGAAGGCACAAAUUUAUAGUACAAAAAAUUCACACAGAUGUAGAUAUAAAUAAGAAAGCCUAAGAAACAUGAUGAGCAUUUAACUGACAUGAUCACUACUCAUCUUUUAAUUCACGGUGAUCCCUAUUAUUAUAUAUAGACUGAGAUAGCAUUACUCAUAUUUUUCGGAGAGAACAGCCAUGUGGAGUAAGAUGAUUUAUUGUGCAUCCAUGUGGAGUAAGAUGAUUUAUUGUGCAUCCAUGUGGAGUAAGAUGAUUUAUUGUGCAUCCAUGUGGAGCAAGAUGAUUUAUUGUGUGGUGUGAUAUCUGCUCAGAACAAUAAAGAAAAUAUGAGUAGUUGUUCAUCACAAGUUACCUUCAAUUUUGCUGUUCAAGGUAUUGUUCUUCAAGAUCACAUGGGCCUUCUUUCUGCCAGAACCUGUAGAGGGAUUUAUGUUUCGCAAACAAGUUAGAAAAACAUAUUCGUAACUAAUUACACAACUGACCAUUUCUAAUUAAUAGGCAUGAAGAUCACGAAAAGCAAAUCUGAAACAUUCAAGACUAAAGUUGCUAACUGCGCAGAGCAUGUCGGUUGAACAAACAGAAUGGUCCUUGCGGUUUGGGAUGGAGAUCCAAAUUAAUGGCCUGUUAAGUAGAUAUUAUUUAGCAGUACCAAAACUGUAGUAUCAAGUGACAAAAGGCUUUUAUAGACCAAAACAACAUUACCAAACUAUGGAGCUAACUGGUUGUACGGACCAAAGCAACAAUAACCAAAGAAUGAGACAGAGAUAUUUUUUGCAUUCCAUCAUGAGAAGCUAACCAGUUUGAUAUAGUUGUGAAAAUCGCAGUCAGUAACCAGAGAAAUGUAUUCAUCCAACAUAUAUGGCGAUCUGUGCUAUGUGGGUGCAGGGCGAUGCGAUCUUAUGAGUAUGCGUGGUUAGUGACUGGGAUUUUCACAUCUAUAUCAAUUGCUUGCCCCACUAAUGAUUAGCCAGGGUCAGGUAAACCAGAUUGUGUAACCAUUACUGUAACACUGCAAUCAUUUUCUAAAUAAUACUUCUAUAAAUCCCAAACCGAAGGUAUACAUACACAACAAUUAAACACCGGCUUCAUCGCAGUACCAAAACAACAGUACCAAGUGAACAAAAUAGCAGUAAUUUGAUGACUGGUGGUAACUAUGAGAUUGUGAUUGUAACACAAAUAAACACUCCUAUAUUUUUGCAUGUGUCCCAAGAUUGCAACCAGAUUUGUACAAAUAAACAGUAUGCCCCAAAUAAACAGCUAGAAGACCUAUGGUCCUUGGAUGGCCAGCAUCAUGCGGCGGACGGUGGGCGUCAUCCGGAGCAAGAUCUUGCGCCGCACACUCAUCAAUGAUGACGCGCCAGCCCGCCUUUUGAGUACAACCUUGUGCAUGGAUCACUAUCGAGAGAACUGGUUCAUUUUCUAUUCAGCUACAUUGACUCGAUGUUUUUGAUUCAUGGACUGCCAUGGCCCUUGAGGCAUAGAUUCUAUUAGUGAGAGUUGAGACAGAGGGUACAAAUAAAUAGAAGCCAAAAGCACACAAAAUAAGAAACACAUUUUGAACAAAAGCUCAACCAGGAGACUGACGUGCUGAUCGUAUUUACUACUGCCACCAUAGAUUUGUUCAAGACAAUGGGGGAGAGCAUUGUUAACUGUCAAUCUCAAUAAAUCUGUCAUGAGAUACCUAUUGUAAAAUCAAAAUAAUAACCAGCAAUGCCUAGAUUAUCAGCAAUGAAGUCAGGCUUGAUGAUUAUUUUGUGUUCUGCAAUAGCAAGCACUCAUUUAAAGUGUCAGUGCAUAGGAAUCAUAGUGUCUAUGCACCAUAAGGGAAAAAACAUAACACAAACAGAGAAGAUUCAGGCGCCUAAAAGAAAUGAAGACGUGCAAGAACGGUGUACCUGCUUGGCCGUCUUUCCUAGCGAUGCGAAGAACACGCAGCACCUGCUCAUUAGCUAAAAAAUAGGCAAAUGUGAAGAUAGAUGCCAGGGGCUACUGGGGCGGGGCGAUGGCGGCAACAGCACGGCGCGUGCCGCGUGCGGACGAUGGAGGGGCAAUACCGCAGUAGAUGGCCAGAGCAGGCGGGAGCACUUUUUGUGAAGAUAGAUCCCUUGUCAUUUUUGGACUUCCAGCUACCCGUGCCCCUCCAGCCAUCUACUCACCUACUCCAGGCCUCCAGAUGCGACGGAACCAAAUCAGAACGACAUGAACCAAUUCCAAUUCAUCCAUCCAAUCCAGGUGUCGAUGGUGCAUAGGAGUCAGACACGAGAGCGGGCAGCGAGGAGGAGUGUCGUACCUUCACUUAUUGCAGAGCAGGGCAAAGCCUCCAGAUCGCAGUGGCCAACCCUUCCUCCAAUCCCCACCCGCCCCCACCACUAACGGCGGCGGCGCGCCGCAGACCAGAUUCGUGCACCUCUUGGUCGCAGCCGCCGGAGCCAUGGUGGACCUAACACAGGUCCUGCACCCCGCCCCUAGAGUCCGCGCGUGAUGUCGUGUGCCUUGUUGAGGUUGAGCCAGUGGAGCACAGCCCGUGCGCAAGCGUCCCUGACGGCGAUGUAGCCGUGGCUGUCCCCCACGGCGAGGCAGAGCGGACGGCAGUCGUCGUCGUCGUGUCGUUGAGGGAUGGCGUGUCGGGGGGCGUCCAACGGACGACGGUGACAGAGGUGGGGAGGAUAAGGGAAUGAGGAGAACGUAGAUCUCGUAGCGAGGAUGUCGAUCAGGUCCGAGUCGUUGAGAGCCACAACGGUGGCCGUCGACGACCGUGAGCUGGAGCCGACUACCGUCCUUGGAGAAGUGCACGUUCUCGACCUUGCCGCGCUUGACGGCGGACGGACAAGAACUUGGUGUAGCGCUUGUGCGCGCCCUCGGGGAGGUCGGAGGCAUACGCAAAUGGCUUUAAGGCAGUGAGGAUGGAGCUCGGGUGCCGGCGCGGGGGCGGGGGCUGAAGCCACGAGCGCAUGCAAAUGGGAUGGGGGCGACGGGGUAGGGGCGACGAGUCGUAGCGGGGUCUGGGCGCCGCGGGGAAGGAGCGUGUUGUGGGGACUGCAGAUGAGGCAGGGCUGGAUUUGCGCGCCGCGGACAUAUGGGCGACGGCGCGCGCGUGGCUAGGAGCGGGGGCAUGGUGAGGCUGUGGACACCCAGUCCGUACAUAUGGUGUAGUAGAGAUAAGGAAUGGGAGCCAUGAUUAGAUGGAAUAUCCUAGAAAGAGCAGGCAUGAUGGAUCAUCUAGCUUAUUGCUUUCCUGUGACUGCAAGUACCACCAGUGGGGAAAAUCUAACUUGAUCCUCACAACGAAUCCAAUUGAUGAGUCUUAUGGGUCGUCUAAAGCUGGUUAGAAGUUGCAUUUUGCAGAAAUGCUCCAUAAAAAACAUAGCAACUCUCCACCGUGUAAUGGCAGUCUAAAAAGCAUUAUUGUGGUGGCAGUAGUGAGCAGCUACAGUUAUUGUGGACGCUACGAAGUGUUCCCUACCUUGCACAUUCACAACAGUAAUCAUUCUAAUAGGAUAUAUCCAUAACUCAUGAGCAAAGCAAAAAUAUGAAAUUGAGCCAAGUUUGCAGUUUUACUGUGACCGAGCAAUCGAAAACGGGAGACGAAAAAACAAGCAGCUGACCUCCAAGAUGGCUGUUGUCUGCGCGAACUGCAGCGGCCUCGACGACGGUAAUCAAAGAAAUAAUAAAACAAGAUGCAAUGUGCUUUGGGGAAUGGUGAAGCAACCUCAAACAAAUAGAACCUUGCCAUCAGAAUCUUCUUCUAAGCACUCAACACCAAUCAUGUCAUCCCCUGCAUUCAACACCUGUUGGUAGAGGUGAAUGGGGCCAUCUGCACACGAUUAGUAAUAGCCAACAAAACCACGACCAGUGGAUACAAAAAUACCCCCACCUUGCUCAAGAGCUCAAGCUGUUCAUCAAGUAUGUAAAAGCUCACAUUAGGUCCUUCUUCAAGCGUCGGCAAAUUCUCGAGUCAGUCGAUCACCUGUUACAGAUCAGUGUACAGCUAGCACGAUACAUUGGACUUUAUGGCAAGAACAUAACAUCAACAUCCAAUUGCAGGUCCAGAAAUAUAAUAGAAUGACUAAUUGUCAUUAUUUUAUACUCUUGUUAGCAUUUUUUAAAUGUUAAAUAGGUUUAUGUACCUUAAAAAUAUAUAUGUAUGUGCCCAUACUUCCGUAUGGAAACUAAAAAGAAAAUUACUAAAUUCAUAUAAAUAUUAAAAAAAUAGAUAAAAAGUAUCAUAGAAAAGGCAUAGUAAUCUAUUACACUGUUCUAGAGGAUGCAUGGAAGCACAACACAUGACAUUUAUUUUUCAAAUCACACACGUGUCAACAAAAACAACAAAACAAGAUGCUUGUAGCAUAAAAUUUAAGUUAAAUUGUGGAAUGCAAGCAAGAAACCACAUUUGAGAACAAGGGAAACCAUGCUAUAAUUAAUAGUACAAUGCCCGAUAUUUGAUAUCUAUAAAAAUAAAUCUAAUAUCAAGUGAACAUAUGGUACAUAUGUUGUAGAGAUACAUGUAGAGUAUUUCUUCACCUUUGAACCAACGACAACUAUCUCAUAUAGGCUCUACAAUUUUUUAACAUACACCAACUAUACAAACAAGUAACUUAAAGAAGGUGGGCAGGUAUCACGCAAAGGAUAAAAAUUGAAUACAGAACACGGUAGUUUAUAAAAUAAAUUAUUCUCGUUAAUUUGAAUAGUUUUAGCAAAUUAAGUCCAAUUCCAAAGAACAAAAUUGUCAGUCUCCUUGAGGUCAGACAACUCAUCCCUCACAUGCAGGUCGAUCCGCUCCUCGUCGAUAUUUAACCUCACCCUCCACUGACGCUGCCAACAGACUCCAGCUCGUACAUGGACUGCAGGCUCCGGAGCACUUUAGCAAUGACUAACCCUGCUAUGACAAAGUUAUGGAAUAAUCACUGGUUGCUCGCAACACUUAAGCAAUUUCAACAGUAAGUUGUAGUGUUCAUAAAAAAUACAUUAUGCAUUAUUUUGCAACACUUUAUUGAUCAUGGAAAGGAACACAAAAAAUAAAGUGUCUGAAACAGGAAACAGUUAGAUCCAUCCCAUUGUAUGGGGAGAACAAUAUCAUAUCUUCCUCUAAAUGUUACUGAUGCUAGUUUUGUAUCAGUAGGUGUAUAAGCAUGGAAUCACUUGCGAACUUGAAAGAUAUCAUAGCAUAUGAUAGCAGGGGUGAUUAGAUAGCCAGAUAUUAAACAGGGCAUUGCAUACGAACAUUUCAAGACAUUCUGCUAUGCACUUACAACAUAAAGAACUUGGCCAUCAUCCAUGGUCUUAAAGGACAUGGAGCUUUCUCGAUGCUGCGAAGGAAAAAGUGAGUUGAACUGUUAAUUCCAGCCUAACAAAAUGGAAAUAUAUAGAGAGAGAGUAAUUAUCAACCGUUGUUUAUCACAACAUAUGCUAUCAUAGGAAAAAGCCCAGAACAUAUAAUUGCGGGCAUUGUUGGUCUCCUAGAUGGCAAAAGCCUCAUACAAAAAGAGAAGGUACUACAAAAGGAUAACAAACAUAAUAAAAAUUGUUUUAUUCAUGACUAACCAUUUCAUCAAAUUGAUCAGACUGUAUAGAAUUCCCAACUUGAAGUUCACGGUACUUGGGACCAGGCCUAAGCCCAAGGGCAGCAGCCUUAGAUGGGUCAAACUUUCCCUUAAUUUCUGGCAGCCUUAGAUUAUCCUGGGUGGGCUCUCUAUUCCCUUUGAAAACCAACUUAGAGAUUGGUAAUUGGCAUGCAACAAAUAUGUAUAGAGUUAUUACUAUACUUGCAUGGGCGAAGAAUUGCUGAAAAGAGUGAAGUAUAAACCCAACCUUGAAAGUCAUCAUGUUGAACAAAGAGAUUUUUCCUCCAGAAGCAGACAUGACAUAUGAAUCAUUCUUUGACAAAGCAAAGUAGUGAACAACUUCUUAAAGAUUAUUGUCAGUCGUGUCAUUAGUCAUCAAAAUGCCACUUGUUGGUUGCCAUAGAGUGGGAGAUACACUUGUGGUUGCCUAUAAGAUUGAUGAAUAGCAAAAUUGAACAAUUUAGUAACAAUCUACACAAAAUUUUCGCCUUUGACAUGUAAAGAAGAUGAGCUAUCUGAACACUAUUUAUGCACAUCUAUAUGUACAUAAGAAACAAGUCUCACCUUUCCAGAAUUCCGAUCAUUGAGUGGCCAUUUCUAGAGUAGACGAACAAUGCUUGAAGUUAAAGCCAAGAUCGCAAGACCAGAGUUUGUGUAAAUCAAUCUUGAAAUCUGUAAUUAUAGAGAAAAUUCUUCAAACUACCUUAUGUUAAAAUCAGCACAGUCAUUGCCAAGGAAAAUGGAGAAAUCAAGAUUACAAGUCAUAUAUGAUGUUAUCCAUCCCAUUCGGUUGGACAAGCAUCACAUAUAUUGAACUAAAAAAUCUAAGGUAAAACGCGCAGGCAGGACACACCAAAUGACAAAAAGAGCUAACACACCAAAUGAACCUUUCUGAAAAAUGAAACCAAAGGUUUUUUAGUACACUUUGGCACUGCAAUCACACAAACUUUUCUCCAUAACGAGAAUACAAAGCCUAAUUAUCUCACGAAUGGUUCAUCGUUGAUUAUCUCAGGUUAACAUUUCAAUGAGAACAUAGAGCACAAACAUAUGUGACAAAGGCUCCAUCGUUGUGAUGCAAUUCUCAAAUUACCUCUGACGAAGUCCAUGGCAGACGCCUCAGGAACGUCACGCCCACGCCAGGAGAUGACUACGACGAGCUCGACCUUGUGGUGUAGAGACUUGAGUGGCUCUGGGAUCUCGACGGCGACGGUGGCCACGCCAGCGUGGAGGAACGACGAGGUCGGCUUCAGGAACAGGAUGGGCUCCUGUAACACACCUAAACACACGCAAGGUCAAAUCCAGACUCCAGAGGUAGCAUGGGAAGGAGUGGGGAGGGAAGUUGGAAGCGUGGCAGCAUUUUGGGAUCGAAGAUGGGAGGUGCGCGACUGCAUCUUGGGGACCGGGUUGCCGAGCUCCUGGUCGUUCCUCUGUGGUCCGAUGACCAGGACCGGGAUUGCAUAGAUAGAGAGGAAAUUUAGGGUUAGGGAUUUUGGAAAACUUGAGAAAGAGAUGGAGCGAACAAUAGGAGGGGAACAAGCUGCAGCUCACCACUGUGUCAUUGGCUGCCUUCCUCCGUGGUCCGGCCGCGGGGCAUAGACUGGGGCGCCCUCCACCGUGUCCGUUGUGCUCCCCCGUGGCAAGGAAGUUGGCGCCCCUCCACUGCGUGUAGGGAGCAUCGUGGAGGCCCAAGGCGGACCUCCGUGCGACAAUGGUUGGGGUCGACGGUGCGACAGCUGCGUGUGAGAGAAGGUGUAGCGUGUGAGGCGAGGAGAUCCAAACACGUGCGAGGACCGAGGAAGGGUAGGGGCGUUGCUGGAGAGGGAGCGGUUGCUGUGUGACGCUCGUGCGGAGGAGAGGAUGAGGAGGAGCGAAGCACGAACAGGUCUCGCGGCGGCAAAGGCUUUUGGUUGGGGAUACGAAACAUCUCAGAAUUGCGACGACGGCUGUGCACGGUGAGCUCGACGACGACUCCGUCUUGCCCGCCUCGUGCUCGCGAUGGAUGUGAAGGCGGAGGUCGAAGCGCCUGGGGCAGGGCGUGGUGGAGACGAACCUCCCGCAUCGCUUCGUCAGGUUGGGCACGUCGAGGCCCCUGGAAAGCAACGACCAACGGUCCCCGGGGGAGCGGGAGGGCGGACAAGGAGGCCGACGCGGCGUGGGAUAGGUAAGCAUAGUGGAGGAACGACUGCUUGACAGGGGGAGCAGGACUUGGGAUCCAGGCUGCGGGCACCGCGCCGCCGCCGCUUAGGGUUUUGGAUCCGAAUAGGGGAGGCAAAACAGGGAUCGCGAGCAGGUGUGCAUCGGGGAAGAGGGCGCACACAUCGGACGACAGAGGGACUUUAUGGCGUAUUGGACGGUCCAGAUCGCUGCAAGGCAGAACAUGUCAGAGGCAGCCUACCCCUUAGAGUCUUAAUAGGUAGUAUAGAUACUUCUUGCGGUAUGCUUUGGGUUGGUUCGGAUUUGCGUGGUUCUAUGGGCUGUUCAGAAUUACGACGCCUGGGCUUUGAUGUCGGCCUCAUGGGCCACCAUUUUUCUCGGUGCAGAAAUCCAGCCUUCUAUGGGAUACACGCGUCCCACUUGUCAGUCAGAAACGAUCGACCAAAGAAUCUCUCAUGUCUCAGCUUCCAAACUCCGGGACCCGUUUCUGUAUGGUAUGGAUAAGAGUAUGGACCAACAGCGCACACCCAUUACUCCACGUGGUGCACGUAAUGAUGAACCCUGGCCCGCAGGUCAAUCACGCCGCGAGUAAAAAAAAUAACUUUGGAGAAAAAAUUAUCUCCCACGCAAAAUGCAAAAAACCACACCAAGCCCCCGUUCCCUCCCUGUGCUUUAUUUCGUUUUCGUCGUCCCCGACUCCCCGUACGCGCUCUCGCUCUCCAGGGCCCAUCAUCCACGCCUUAACACCGGCCGCACAAACUAGCGCAGAUCUCCCCCCACUGCUUAAUUCCCUCGUGGCUCGUGCGCGCGCUGCUCGCCAUACACGCUCCAGUAGAGAUGGCAAUGGGGACCCGAUCCCCGAUUCCCCGCGGGGAAUUCCUCCAUUAGGGGAUGGGGAUGGGGAAGAAACUUCCCCCGCGGGGAUAUAAACGGGGAAAAUUUAUCCCCCGACGGGUAAACGGGGAUGGGGACGGGGAAGCAUUCCCCAUCCCCGUUCCCCGCGGGGACCCGUUAAACUUGUACGUGACUAUGUUUUUGUGUACUAGUUAACGACAAAAAUAAAUAAUUACCUUAUCAAGAGACCACUAAUUGUACAAAUGUGUUCAUUUUGAUGUAUGCAUAAUGAUUUCUUAUAUCUGACAAUGUGUAUAAGUGACAAUAUUUAACAUUAAUAGCAAAGUACGUAUGUCUUAAUUGUGAUUUAAACGGGGAUGGGGAUCCCCGUUGGGGAUUUAUCCCCGCGGGGAACAGGGAUGGGGAAGAAAUGCUCCCCGCAAGCGUUCGUGGGGAUCCCCGCGGGGAAGUUUUUUCGUCGUGGGGACGGGGAUGGGGAGCUAUUCCCGGGCGGGGAAUUCCCCGUUGCCAUCCCUACGCUCCAGGCUCUCGUUUCCUGGUAGGCGCUGGUACAAGCGGAAGCAGCAGUAGCGUGAGGCAUCCCCAUGCCGGGGGCAAUCUCUUCCUCGUCGUCGGCUUUUCUCCUCCCCGUCGCGUCCUCCUCGCCGCGGCGCAGGCGGGGCAGUGUGGGUGCUGCUCUGCGCUCGUACGGCUACAGCGGCGCGGAGCUGCGGUUGCAUUGGGCGCGGCGGGGCCCGCCUCAGGAUGGAGCGGCGUCGGUACGCGCCGCAGCGGCACCGGCCGGGGGCGAAAGCGAGGAGGCAGCGAAGAGCUCCUCCUCGUCCCAGGCGGGCGCUGUUCAGGGCAGCACGGCCAAGGUUGAUUUACUCGGAACAUUUAUUAACUCGAUUUUUUCCCGCAUGAAAAAGUACUCCGUAUAAAAUUGCUAUUGGGUUUAUGCACAGCUUGCUUGUCAAAUUCAGCACCAACUCACCGUUUCUGACGGAAAUGCAGCUGCACAUGCAGUUUUAGCCGCUCCUUUCUCAUGAUCAACUACCACAUGUGACACACGCGCUUGUAUAUUUUAGAUGCGGAUCGCUGAACUCUGUACUAGGUGAGCUUCGCUGAUGCUAAGUUUCUAGCUGUGUCCCAAACCUGUUUACUCAGGCUGUGGAUUCUGCUUCACCUCCCAAUCCUUUGACAUCUGCUCCGAAGCAAAGUCAGAGCGCUGCAAUGCAAAACGGAACGAGUGGGGGCAGCAGCGCGAGCACCGCCGCGCCGGUGUCCGGACCCAAAGCUGAUCAUCCAUCAGCUCCUGUCACCAAGAGAGAAAUCGAUGCCAGUGCGGUGAAGCCAGAGCCCGCAGGUGAUGAUGCUAGACCGGUGGAAAGCAUAGGCAUCGCUGAACCGGUGGAUGCUAAGGCUGAUGCAGCUCCGGCUACAGAUGCGGCGGCGAGUGCUCCUUAUGACAGGGAGGAUAAUGAACCUGGCCCUUUGGCUGGGCCUAAUGUGAUGAACGUCGUCGUGGUGGCUUCUGAAUGUGCUCCUUUCUGCAAGACAGGUAGGUUGCAUUUCAGCUGAGUUUCUCCGUCCAAAAUAAGCGACUGCUCUGACAACCGUUGCCGCAUAGGUGGCCUUGGAGAUGUCGUGGGUGCUUUGCCUAAGGCUCUGGCGAGGAGAGGACACCGUGUUAUGGUAUUCAUCUCUUUCAUUUUCGUUAUAUCUAUGCACCCUACGAGAGACAGCAGAUACUGUUUCAGCUGCCAUGCGCCUGAAUGCAGAUUCUGAACUCUUGUCCUUUGCGAAACAUGGGGAAAAAAUUAAGAUCACAUAGUCAUACUUCUGUAACCACAAGUUUUGUCUCAGUGCUCUAAUGUACUUCCACAAAAAAAAGGAGGAAAUUAUAAUUCAUAUAUGACCAGAAAAGUAAUGCAAUUUUGUGUCCUGAUGUUAGGUCGUGAUACCAAGAUAUGGAGAGUAUGCCGAAGCCCGGGAUUUAGGUGUAAGGAGACGUUACAAGGUAGCUGGACAGGUAUGAAAAAAGUGGAAACAAAGUCGCUGUAGAACCGAUCCUGUAUGAAAGAAAGAAAAUAUGCUAGACCUGAUUUUUUUCCUCCUGUGAUUUUCAGGAUUCAGAAGUUACUUAUUUUCACUCUUACAUUGAUGGAGUUGAUUUUGUAUUCGUAGAAGCCCCUCCCUUCCGGCACCGGCACAAUAAUAUUUAUGGGGGAGAAAGAUUGGUAAAUACCAAUUUUGAAGUGCUUUUGCUAACAGUAGAAAAUCAAGUUGGAUGCUUGUCACAUUUAUCUAAACUAUGUCUCUGAAUUUAAUCACCUGAUGGCAGGAUAUUUUGAAGCGCAUGAUUUUGUUCUGCAAGGCCGCUGUUGAGGUACUGCUAGCCAUUGGUUUCUAAGAAAUUCACAAAGUAACAAAAAAAUUAUGAUGGCUUACUGGCUAAUAAGAAGAUAAAUUCAUCGCUGGUAAAUUUUGAUAAGUCAACAGUGACCAGGCCCCAUAGAAUUACACAAUAUACACCCUUCACUGUUUAGUUAAUAUAUUUUUCUUCUACUUUUCCAAGCUGUCUAUGCACCUCAUUGAAUAGUUUGUUAUGACAGACUCAAUUACAGCUCAUAUGGGCUAUAGUUUAUUGUGGGGCGAAUAAAUCUGCAUCAUCCUCUUUUUCAAAGUUAUUUUGAACAUUUGCAGGUUCCAUGGUAUGCUCCAUGUGGCGGUACUGUCUAUGGUGAUGGCAACUUAGUUUUCAUUGCUAAUGAUUGGCAUACCGCACUUCUGCCUGUCUAUCUAAAGGCCUAUUACCGGGACAAUGGUUUGAUGCAGUAUGCUCGCUCUGUGCUUGUGAUACACAACAUUGCUCAUCAGGUUUUGCACCUUAAACUUUGGCUACCCUUUGUUUUUUUCUCUAAAAACUUUGAAAUCACAUGUACUUAUUUUGUUGAUAUCUUUGUUUGUAAUUCUCCUGCAAAAGUUUUCAAGAUUUAUCGACUCAUAGCAUUUAUUGUUUUUUUUAAAGGAAAAAUUCACGACUCAAUAAACCUAAUAGCUUUUUAUAUUUUUAGUUUCUUCCAGUUGUCUAGUGACCCAAAUCAGAUGAAAUGAAACUAUGAAUCUUUUGAAAGGAUAAAAGGUAUUGGUGUAUAAGAAAAGUUACCCAUAUCUCAGACAGGAAUAGGGAUGGCAGUUGGACCCGUGGGUAUGGAUACCCGCGGGUUUCGUACCCACCGGAUACCGGAUAUGGAUACGGGUACAAAAACUCACCCGUGAGUUCUAUCGGGUCGGAUACCCGAAAUACAUCGGGUCGGGUAUGGGUAAAAUACUUUACCCAUGGGUAUCCAGUGGAUACCCGAAAUAUCAAUAUACCUCUUUAAAUGUUCUACAUCCACUAAAAAUGUGCUACAUUCACUAGAAAAACUCACUCGCAUGUGUUGUUGAUUAAUGAAUAUUAAUUUAUGUUGUGUUAACAGUCAACUAUAAUGUAAUCGAGACCAAUGAGACAUUGACAAUGUUAUAACUGUCAACUGUCAUGAACUUAUUAAGCUUUUAUUCUCUUUACUCAAAUUUAAAUUUAUUGGAUGUGAUAAUUAUAAGUUGAGAUACUGUAUCGACGUGUAGCCAAAUAUAGUCAUUCUCGUGUUGCAUUGGUGCUUAGAUGUAAACUAAAAUAUUUUAUGUAUUUAUUAUAACACUGACCGAAUGUUAUUUAGUCUACACAAUAACAUAUCCACUGGAUACCCGAUACCCGGUGGAUACCCGAUGGACAUAGAUACGGGUACAGUUUCUCGCUCGAUUGGCUUGGUGGGCAUGGAUAUUUGUAGAAGUCUCGGGUAUAAUUUCGGGUCGGGUAUUGUUAUACCCGAACAAAACCCGACCCGCUGCCAUCCCUAGACAGGAAUGUUACCCAUGUAAGGAAAUGCUUUUGUGAUAUAUUCUUAGGAAUACUUGUGCUAGAUAUGUAAAAUUGUUACUUUUAGGCGUCAGUUCUUUGCUAUUUUGAGGGAUUGAUUAGGUUGUUUCCUAUUUUCAGCACUAGUUCUUUGCUACUUGGAGGCAUCAAUUUGGUCCUUUAGCAUUUUCAGGUUUCAUUUAGGUGCCGUUUGGUUCACAUAUUUGUAACGUAAUGGAUAAGUGAUAACGUUAAAUCAUGUUUGUUUUAGUCCAACCGUAAUCAGAUACCAUACUAAAAAUUGAUACCGAACUAUUCAAACUUAUUACCGCCAGUAAUCGAGUGUAAACCAUUACCAUUAUCAUUUACGUUACAUUUCUCGAACCAAAUAGCACCUUAGUUCUUGUGGGAAUGAAUAUGGUAAUCUUAAAGGAGUAUUUAAAUGCACUAGAGUUAAUGGUUAGUUGGCUAAAAAAUUGCUAGUGUAAUUAGCUAUCUAAUAAAUAGUAGCUUACUAUUAGUUAAUUUGCUAAAAACAGAUAAUAGCGAAAUUAUUAGCUAGACUAUUUGGAUGUCUUCAACUAAUUUUAAGAGCUAACUAUUAGCUCUAUUGCAUUCAAACACCUCUGUUAAACCUAAUGAACAAUCAUGUGUUCGAGACUUAAAUAUUGUGUAUUUCAGUUAGAUUUUGCUGGUUGACUUUUUUUAAAAAAAAUAUAAUUUUCAACUUCAGACCUGACACGGCCAAAAUUAGUAAAUUGCUGAUGCAGUUAUGCACAUUUUUCGCUUUUCUGAAGGGUCGUGGCCCUGUAGACGACUUCGUCAAUUUUGACUUGCCUGAACACUACAUCGACCACUUCAAACUGUAUGACAACAUUGGUGGGGAUCACAGCAACGUUUUUGCUGCGGGGCUGAAGACGGCAGACCGGGUGGUGACCGUUAGCAAUGGCUACAUGUGGGAGCUGAAGACUUCGGAAGGCGGGUGGGGCCUCCACGACAUCAUAAACCAGAACGACUGGAAGCUGCAGGGCAUCGUGAACGGCAUCGACAUGAGCGAGUGGAACCCCGCUGUGGACGUGCACCUCCACUCCGACGACUACACCAACUACACGUUCGAGACGCUGGACACCGGCAAGCGGCAGUGCAAGGCCGCCCUGCAGCGGCAGCUGGGCCUGCAGGUCCGCGACGACGUGCCACUGAUCGGGUUCAUCGGGCGGCUGGACCACCAGAAGGGCGUGGACAUCAUCGCCGACGCGAUCCACUGGAUCGCGGGGCAGGACGUGCAGCUCGUGAUGCUGGGCACCGGGCGGGCCGACCUGGAGGACAUGCUGCGGCGGUUCGAGUCGGAGCACAGCGACAAGGUGCGCGCGUGGGUGGGGUUCUCGGUGCCCCUGGCGCACCGCAUCACGGCGGGCGCGGACAUCCUGCUGAUGCCGUCGCGGUUCGAGCCGUGCGGGCUGAACCAGCUCUACGCCAUGGCGUACGGGACCGUGCCCGUGGUGCACGCCGUGGGGGGGCUCCGGGACACGGUGGCGCCGUUCGACCCGUUCAACGACACCGGGCUCGGGUGGACGUUCGACCGCGCGGAGGCGAACCGGAUGAUCGACGCGCUCUCGCACUGCCUCACCACGUACCGGAACUACAAGGAGAGCUGGCGCGGCCUGCAGGCGCGCGGCAUGGCGCAGGACCUCAGCUGGGACCACGCCGCCGUGCUGUAUGAGGACGUGCUCGUCAAGGCGAAGUACCAGUGGUGAGCGAAUUAAUUGGCGACGCCGACGCCGCUCCUGUCGCAGGACCUGGACGUUAUUUAGAAGGCUCUUCUCCCUGGCGGCUUUGAUGCGUGCGUCGCAUUUGCGCCGGGCGGACGGGCGACGGUGGUUGGCCUACCGCCUACGUCGGCUGCGUGCCCUGGGAAUUUGGGCGGGCACGAUGAUGCCACUGGGCACCGGGCGCGGGGUAGUAUGAUAUGAAACCGACGGCGAUGGAGAUGAGGCGCAUGGCAUUUUCCCACUGAUAAAUGGGGAGUUGUAUGCUACUUUAAUAUCGCCACUCCUGUUAGUAUUUAUAUUGAUGCUGUCAAGUUUUCCACUCCAAGAACAAAUGACGGUAGCCGGUAAGUAUAGGCCUAUUUGUAGAGCUAGUUAGAAGUACAUGUGCCCAAACCGACAACAUUGUACGUACAUUAUAAAGCACGGCACUAUUUGUUACUGUCAGUAACCGUGUCGUGCUAGUACUAUACCUAACCAUCGUCACAGGUACAGCAUUAUAGCACCUAUGACGCCAUUGUAUAGCACUUAGUAGUUAGUAGUGCUCUUGUCGGUCUAGAUAUUAUUUCACUUUAAGAGUGCUCAAAAGAGCUAGAACACCUUUAAAAUUACAUAUAUAUAAAUUUAAAACAUAAACAUGCAUACUUUAUUAUAUUUAAAAAUCAUAAUAAAUCACAAUUUACAAUCGCAUGCAUUGCAAGCAAUCAGUCGUAUCUAUACUACCUACCGUGUCAAAGCAGUACGGGUUGUGUUAUACCUAGUAUCCAUUUAGUAUGAUCCACUUGGCUAUCUAUAGUCAGAGGCUUGAACACCUCUUGGUUUAGCCGAACGUUUACAGUAUUAUUUAUAUUAUUUGAUUAAAUUUGAAUUGUUUAGUUUCUUCACGAGCCGUAUUCGGAGCCGGUGUGGAAAGGUAACGUUUUAAACAAAAGUGAAAAAGGGCGAGCUCUCCCAGCCGUUCAUUCCAACCGUAGACGCCUCAACUGUCAGCCCACGGGACAGGACACUGCUGGCCUAGCCUGCUGUGAGAGAGAGAGAGAGAGAUAUCACAGAGAAUCAAAGCACAGUACUACGAAGUUUCUUUUUUUGAAGGAAACAGUACUACCCGUCCUUCGUAUUUGCUACAACUGUAGGACUGUGGCCACUGACACUCGCACGUUGCUUGCCACAACCACCACCUCCGCCGUGUCAAACGCGCACGCAUCGAUGGCCAUUGCAGGCCCCUUGGCAACGCGAAUUGGGAUAGCUUUUCCCAUGCGAGUGAAAGUGAAGGUGCCUGCGCGGCUCCCGCACACACGGAAAGCUGGUUGCAAGAUAUGGACAUGUCUUGCAAAAAAUUCGUCACUUGUUGAUUGAUGCUCUGGGCUCCGAGAUGUACGUCCAAUUAAUGCUGUUUCCAUUCGUUAAUUCUGUGAGAUGACUCCAACUACGCUAACGCUUAGGCCCUGUUACAGACCGGUAAUUAUUAGCUAAUAAAUUAUUAGUUGUUUUUAGCUGGGUUAGGCUGACUACAGUGGUAUCCUCUCGCCUCCCCUUCCCUUGCCUCUGUAGUGAUGGUGGCGGAUACAGUAUCACAUUUGCUUAGGCUAUCCGCACUCAUUCAACUCUAAAAAUCCACUCUAAAAAGAAUAUUCCGUCCUAAUCAGCAAUAUUCUCUACUCUAUACAACAAUUUCCUGCGCUCAUGUUUACUCUACAUCUCAACUCUAUACCAACUCCCACGUUUUAUAUUAUUUUUCCCACUCUCCUACCCCGCCUAUCUACCUCCCCGCUCGGCACUCCGCCUCCCCCGCUAGCACUGGGCAUAAAACCCGAGCCCGAAGCCCUGUACCCGAAAUACCCGAACCCGUACCCGUAUAGCCCAAAACCCGUUACCUAAAUAGCUUCAGCGGGUAACGAAACUAAAUACCCGAAUUAAGUACGGGCCUAAUCGGGUAUUAAACCACGCUACCCGAAGCACUGUAGCUGCGUGCUUGCGCCAGCCCGCCAGGUGUUCGGCCAGUCGGCCUGCUCAGUGCUCACGGCCCAGUUCUCAGUUUCUCACGGCCCACGCACUGGCUGGAAGCGCCCCCCUCCCCAGUCCCCAGACCCACUGUCCAGAGCCAGAGCCCAGAGGCACGCACGACCGCACGAGGCCACGAGCACCGGAGCACGACCAUGAAAUUGACAAAUCAACAAAGCACAAACCCUAGCUCCUAGAGGUGGCGGCUGCCGGCUCCGCGGUCGGCACUCGGCAGUCGGCAACACCGCAGCAGGCAUUCCAGGCAUUCCAGGCAAGGGCGCAGCCGCGCAGGCGUGUGUGGGUGUGCGGUCUGCGGUGUGCCCCUGCGGUUCUUCUCCUCUCUCUCUCUCUCUCAUUGUGAGGCAAGGCAAGGCCACAGCCCACAGCGGCACAGCAUCGUCGGCGGCCACAGCGUCCACACUCCACAGGCAAGGCAAGGCAAGGCCUCUCUCCCGCAGCAGCAGGCGGCAGCGCCCAGCCUAAGGCUGGCUCCAGCAGGGUCCUGUAAAAGCUCCUGUACUCUACAUAUAGAGGUUUGUCAGAUCCUCUAUCCCUCCAACAAGGGACUUUAAAAGGUCCUCUAAAAUUUAUGGCUUGUUCGCUGCGGCUUGCUGCGGCUGCAAUCCGGCUGCGGCUGCGGCUUCUACAGUAUUUUUCUCUCUAUGGAUUGCAGCUGCAGCAGUCCAAACAGCUGCAACAGUGUCGGCUUGUAGCCAGCCGAACACGCCCUUAGAGGAUGACAUGCAUGCGCUAUGUAUAGAGAAUGUACGGCGGUGCUCUAUAUAGUGUGCUGAUUUCUGUGCACGUGCUGACGAGCGGUAAAAAAUAAUAUAGAAUGUCAAAUCUAGUAGCACUAUUGAUAUAGAGGAUGAAAUUUAGGGGAUAUUGCUGGAGAUGAAGAAGAUAUAGAGUACAGAAUCUUUUAGAGAGUGCUGUAAAGGACAGAGAAUAUUCUUUUAGGGGAUGAAAUUUAGGGGACGUUGCUGGAGACAGCCUAACAGCGUCAGACGCCCAACACUCCAGCAUCUUAGUGGACAGCGCCGCCCAGCCUAGCAUCGGGUAUUUUGAUAUUAACCGAACCCGUACCCGAAAGUAUGGGUACCCAAAAUUACGGGUACCCGACAUUAUGGGUACGGGUUCGGGCUUAGAUGUUUAAAACCCGAAAUAUAAAAAACCCGACCCGAAAUAUCGGGUAAACCCGAACGCCCAGCUCUAUCCCCCGCAGACAGUCCACGUGGAGGAAUAGGGUAUCCACUGCAAGACGCCAUAUCUGAGGUUCGAGCUUGCCUUGGGCCCGGUGCAGUUGGUCAUACAGUCCACCGCUGCAGGGAUAUUUUACUGUAAAUGGCGAUGCAUCCAGUUUGCAGUCCGCGAGUGCAGAUAGCCUUAGUGCUGAUUUGGUGACCAGGAAUCACGAGAGAAUCUAUACGAAAGGAAUUUCUUGUUAUUCAAUUUUGAAUAGUAAGAGGAUUCCGAAAAAUCAAAGUGCCUACUUGUGUAAUGAAUACAAGAAAUCUGAGUUAGUGUGUACAGUAUUCAGAAUUAUGCCACGUAACAAAAACAAAACAUGAGCGUUCGCGGGUGGUUGUUCACGUCGUAUUGGACAGCUUUUUAAAAAAAAAUUGCCAAGAGCUCACAAACGUUCUCAGUAGACCUGCCCGCGACUGUGGAUUCCAAAUCUAGGGGUCUGUUUGGUGUUUGGUUUAUGGAUUGAUUAAGUUUAACCGUUCAAAUUAAAUAACUAAUUUUAGCCAGAAAAGGUAGGUAAAAUAUGACAAAUUAGAUAGCGAACCAAAUGACUAUGCAUACUGAAGUUCCAGCACAAACUUAAUAGGGUUCAUUACAACCAACACACUUGGGUAACACGCAAAACAUCUCAUCCGAAAGAGGCCAUCACCAUGAGACCCCACAAAUGCUUAAUUGGCGGGUGAUAAAAGGCGGCCUACCUCCGUUAAUCUGCAAGCCAGCCUUACCACCACUUCCAAUUCCAAAACAACCAAGCAAAACGCUACCACACCAACCAGGCUAACACCAGCACGACAAAACCCGCGCUAAUACUAGGCCUAAACUACUGGUAAUUCCCCAGAUCCAAAGCGAGAUGCACCAUUCAUAAAACCAUGGCGCCUCUCGGCAAGCUCCGAGUGAGGGUGGACGACUCUACCACGACCAACGGAAAACUACUACUUGUGGCACCGCGUCGACGACGGACGAGACGACGCUGCGGGAACGAUGGAGGGUGUUCAGUUGAACUGGGCCCCGCUGAAGGUCUGGCCGAAGCCCCAGCCGCGCGGGGCAGCGUUGCUGGAGACCACGGAGCGGCCGUCGCUGGUGGUGACGCGGAAGGAGAGGGCCUGCCCGUCCAGGAGCGUGUUGCUCUGCCAGUUCUGGCCCCAGUUGCGCGACAGGGCCUGCCACCCCGCGGAACGGUCGCCCUUCACGGCCACCGCGUGCACGUCGCCGGCGCCGCCCACGUUGGUCACCAGCACCAGGUUGAAGUAGGAGUGGCCGUUGAUGGUGAACCGGAUGCCGCCCUUCUUGUUGCACGCGACCCUGCACAGCACGUAGGAUAGGAAACAAACAAACAAACAAACAAACAAACAAACAAGCGCGGCUCUCAGAUCUGCUCGAGUUCCUUUCCCUUCUUGUUUUGCUAUACACGGGCAAAAUAAACAACCACGGAGCACGGACCUGCGGUAGGAGACGGGGACAAUGCCAGCCCUGUAGAGCGCGAUGCGCUGGAACACGGGCUGCGACAUGUCGAAGUGGGCGCGCGGCGGGUUGCACCAGCCGCCGUCGUCGGACGGGAGCGCGUUGUUGGGCGGGCAGAAGUUGGUGGCCGUCACCACGACGGAGCCCGGCAGACACGAGCGGCCGCCGCCCCCCGCCGCGUCGCACCGCACCUCGAAGCAGGCGCCGCAGCUGAGGCCGUUGUUGAAGAGCGCCGUGCUCAGCGCCGCCGUGUUGGUGCCGUACCCCUGGCUGUAGAGGUUGCCGUACCCACACGCCCCGCCUGCAUGGACGCGCCGCGUUCAGAUGCGAAAUUCAGUCCAAGGCAUCUCGGCAGGGUACUGAAACCUACGAGAACCGCGAAAUGUUUGAGAAUGGGGGUCGCUCACGUACCCAUGGUGCCGGACGCAUCGCCGCCGCCGUAGAAGGUGGCGUGAGCCGAGGACCACGCGCCACCUCCGAGCGGUGCGUGGCCGUGCGGCCUCGGGUGCGGCUGGGCGCGGUGGUGGCCAAGCCGCAGCCCGCGAGAGAGGGCGAACGGGAGCAGCGCGGCGAGGACCACGACCGCGAGGACGGCUUGGCGAGGCGCCAUUGGAUUGGAGCGGGGUGUGUGUGGCGGUGCAGAAAGGCGCAGGACAAUGGCGGGAGUGGUGUGAAGUGAGGAGAUGUGGGGUGGGGUGGGGCUGUGUGUCGGGAUAAAUAGAGGGGGGCGGCGGAUGGGUUUCAAACCGCCGCGCGCGGUGCGCGUGGGCGUGGUGCCGGGCCGCGCAGGGCGUGGGCGGGACGGGGAUGGACGGUGGUUGGCGGCUGUGGGGCUGGGCUGGGGCCUGGGGCGCGCGGCGCCGUGGCAUGGUGGGCCACGCCGUGCUCUGGAAAAGUCGCUGAGCUACCACGUAGGGACACGGGUUUUCUGGCGGGCACCUUGGGAGGCGUGGCGGGCGGGAGAGGACGGGGAAAAAAAGGUGGGCGCCGCAGAGGACACCGGCGCGGUGACGGUGCUGUGCGGCAGCUUUGGAAGUUGAACAUGGCCGCGCGGGGUGGUGACUGACGGUGGUCCACCGUUCUAUUGCUCCAGCGAAUUCUCCUGUACUACUAUGUAUUUGGCACUAUUAUUCACUAUGAAAUCAUAUUAAAAUUAAGUUAAAAUUGGAUUUUUGAACCUACUGUUACAUGUCUAUGUGAUCAGUUCAAUAUUUUUUUUGAUAAAUACUGAAGCCGAAUUUACAGAUCAAUCUUGUUACGAGGUACUGUCCAAGUAAAAGAAAAGGUGACGAUGAUAAUAGCUUUCCGGAUUUACAUAUAAGAUUACAAAUAGGGAUAAUAAAUCGUUGAAAUCAAUAAGUUUAGGGUCUUUUUUGGAUUGCAGAAUUUUUCAGUUUUCCGUGUUUUUUUUUCUGAUGAACUGAUUCCUAUAUAAUUAUUCUGAAAUUCAUGCAUUCCAAAGGGCGUGACAUAUUGAUAUAGUUCUGUGUACCCGUCACGCUGCUACUUCAUAACUAACUUUGGAAGGAACCGAAUUCCUAUGGGAACUGAAGUACCGAGUAAUACCAAACGUCCAGGCCUAAUUACAACACAAGCAACCACAUAGCUUGAAAAGAGAUCUAUCAACAUACGACAAGAGAAACUACAUGAACAAUCCACCUCAAACUCAGACCAGUACGGCAGUACCAAAGGUCCAUAAAAUGCUGGCUACUAGAUCACCAGCACACACAAAAAAACAUAAAGGCCAAAAAACUCUCAGAUCACUCUUUCCACAUCUAAAAAAUCUUCAGAUCGUUUCUGCAAGAUCUUUACCCAGCUCUUCACUCUUCCAUUAUCAGCUAUUCAUUAGCUACAGCUAACAUUUAGAUGAUUACUAAAAAAAUAGUUUUGAACUGUUUAGAAUCAAUGACUGAUAGACGCUAUUCUCACAUAGAUAUAUUUAUGCCUCAUGGGCCCUAGCGAACACACAGAAGCACUUUCCUUGGGCACAUGAAAAUAACAGAUGGGUUGUCUACACUGCAUCAACACAAACUUCAACUCUAAUAGGAGACAAACUAGGACCACCCUGAGCCUACUGCUACCCCAACACCGCAAGUACCCUAAUGGCCCUAGCAAUACCAAUCGAACCACCUUAGGCCUUCUCUAGUGCCUCCCCCAUCCCACGAAGGGGAGCUUUGGGGGUGAAAUUGCCCUCCAACAACUACUCCAAAGCUCCCUCCAUAAGGAAAAGAGAGGAAACUCCUAACCAGGUUAUAUUAAACUAUGCUUUGCCUCACCGCACUAUCCCUCAAGCAACGGACAAGCUGAGAGGGCAAACACUAAAAUCCUUUGAAACCUCAAAACCUAGAUAUAUAAUUGUCUUAAAAACAUAGCUAGGUAUAUCAUCUUAGAGCCUGUUUGGAAAUGCAGUUUUGAAAUACUAUAGGUUUGAGAUACCACAGUUUACAAUUGUACAUAACACAAAUACCACGAUAUUACUUUACCACAGUAAAACCAUAGUAUUGCUCAAAACCGAGAUAUGUAGAGAAAAGAGAUGAAAACUGAGGUAUUUUUGCAGUUUUGAAACAAUACUAUGGUAUUUGAUAAUACUAUAGUAUUAGAGCUCAAAGGUUGUUUGGUUUGUACAGUCAAAACUCAGUUUUAAAUACCAUGAUUUUAUCCAAAACUGUGGUAUUUUUGGUGUUUUCGAAACUCCACUCAGGACCUUAGUUUUCUUCUCUUCUCUCUACAUAUACUUUGUUUUUUUCCAAUAGAACCAAACAGAUCUCGGUUGUGAGCAAUGAUGCAGUUUUAUUGUGGUAAAACAAUAUCAUAGUAUUUAUGUCAUGUACAAUUGUAAACUAUGGUAUCUCAAAACUACAGUAUUUUAAAACUGCAUUUACAAACAGGCCCUCAAAAGCUCCAAAAAUAUCACGGUUUUGGGUAUAUUAAAACCAUGUUUUAUCUGUACAAACCAAAUAUCUUUUGGGGUUCCAAUACUAUAGUAUAAUCAAAUAACAUAGUAUUGUUUUCAAAACUACAAAAAUACCACACUUCCAAACAGGGCCUUAACUCGAUUCUUUGGGCAAACAGAACUACUCCUAAUCAGGCCACGAGAGAAACUCCGUUCUUUUUGGCCUAUGGGGUCGGGCUCCCCUUGGUUAUUGUGUAUCAAGAUGUUUUGCAGCAGCAAAGUACGCCCUAAGGAUCUAGACUUGCUCGAUGAGCAAAGAUGACAGACUCUCCUUCGUGCGGUGGAUUACCAGCAAGCACCGCGCCGCCACCAUCUACGCCAUGUAAGGCCAUGGACACUUACAAAGGAGAUAUCAUGCAUGCUCUGAUGUAUCGUCAGCCAGGUAGGUAUGAACAAACUCUAUCCUGCCUAAGAGGGUCCUUUCCGGGUUACCGGAGUCUAGAAACCAGCAUCUAGUUCGGCUCAGCCCUGUUAAUAUGCUUGAUUUGUAGUAUUUAUUGUGGUCUAUUGCAGUGCUCAGUGGUGAAUCAGUGGAGAGACAGGAGAGAAUGAGACAAAUGACAGGGAUGGUUUCUUUAUUGCAGACAGGGUAGUAUAUACACAAGUGUUCUCAAGGGGUGUGUCCCUUGGGAAUAACUGUCACAUGGAUGGAUUAGAUCACAUGUACAAAUAUUUUGUAACACUCCCCCUUGAUCAAUCCUAAUCCAUUUGAUCAUCUGCAAUCUGUCAUCAAAUUCUUGAUCUCCUCAAAAACCCUGUGGGAAAAAUAAGGAGUACACAAUGUCUUUUGGAUAAUGAGAAUAAUCUCACAUAGUCUCCAAAAGAAAAAUAUGCUUGUAAUCAUCAUGUAUAAAAACCCCUGUGGGGAAAAUCAAUGAUGAAGCAUAUAGCUUUGUUGAUAUUACCUCGUUAAAAACUUUGAAUGAGAAAACCUUAGCAAGGCAAAAACUCAUACAAAGAAAAGAGUGUAAUAUGAUGGUUCAAUACAGGUUAUAUAUCAUGGGGAAUUACUCCCCCUGAACCUUGCAAGCACUUAAGUCUUCUCAUACCAAUCCUCUCAACACAUUUCUGAAAUGUAGAGUAUGGUAGAGACUGUGUGAAUAGAUCUGCAAGAUUAUCACAAGACUUUGUUUGCAAGAUGUUUAUAUCCCCUUUUUCCUGAAGUUCAUGGGGAUAAAACAGUUUAGGAGAAAUAUGCUUAUUGAUAUUGCUCUUGAUAUAACCUGUAUCCAUCUGAACAACACAAGCUGAAUUAUCUUCAUAGAUAAUUGUUGGUGAGUUAAGAGAACCAAUACCACAAGUUGUGAGUAUAUGAUUCACCAUUCUACGAAGCCAUACACAUUCAUGUGAUGCUUCAAAUAAUGCAAUUAUUUCAGAAUGGUUGGUGGACGUGGUCACCAAAGUCUGCUUAGACGAUUUCCACGAGAUGGCAGUUCCACCUUGUAAGAAUACGAAUCCUGUUUGCGAUCGGCCAUUGUGGGGAUCAGAUAAAUAGCCAGCAUCUGUAUACCCAAUUAAACUACGAUCAUUACUUCUCUUGUAAAAGAGUCCUAGAUCCUUUGUGCCAUUUAGGUAUCGGAAAAUAUUCUUAAUGCCAACCCAGUGUCUUUUCGUUGGGGGCAGAACUGUGCCUUGCUAACAAAUUUACUGCAAAAGCAAUAUCCGGCCGGGUAUUGUUAGCAAGAUACAUCAAUGCACCAAUAGCACUGAGAUAUGGGAACUCCGGUCCCAAUGUCUGUUCUUCAUCAUCCUGUGGUCUGAAUGGAUCUUUCUUUAAAUCCAAGGAUCUGACCACCAUAGGAGUCUUUGAAGGAUAAGACAUAUGCAUAUUGAAUUUUUCCAAUACCAUUUGGGUAUAUGUACUUUGAUGUACAAGGAUUCCAGAAGGUAAAUGCUCAAGUUGUAGACCUAAGCAAAAUUUGGUUUUACCCAAAUCCUUCAUCUCAAAUUCCGUCGUUAAAUGAUGACGUGCUUCAUCAAUAUCAAGUUUAUUACCUAUGAUGUUAAGGUCAUCAACAUAAACUGAUAUGAUACAGAAUCCCACUUUGGAUCUUUUGAUGAAGACGCACGGGCAAUCAUCAUUUUUCGUGUAUCCCUUACUCAAAAGGAAUUCACUCAAUCGGUUGUACCACAUUCUGCCCGAUUGUUUUAAGCCAUAUAAUGACUUCGGCAACUUUACACAAUACAUGUUGCACUUUGUCUUUGGAUUCGGUACAUCUAUUCCAUCAGGAACUUUCAUGUACAUAUCAGAAUCCAGUGACCCAUAAAGAUAUGCGGUCACUACGUCCAUCAACUGCAAAGAUAGACGAUUUUGCACUGCCAAAGAUAUUAAAUAUCGGAAUGUUAUUGCACUCAUGACUGUUGAAUAAGUUUCGUUGAAAUCAACGCCGGGUCUUUGUGUAAACCCUUGUGCUACUAGCCUUGCUUUGUAUCUCACUACCUCACCAUUUUCAUUUCGUUUCCGAAUGAAAACCCACUUAUAUCCCACAGGGAAGAUAUCACGUGGUGUAGGUAUUACAGCAGAGAAAACUUCUCUUUUGUAAAGCGAGGCUAACUCCGCUUCGAUUGCUGCCUUCCAUUUGAUCCAAUCCGAGCGCUUACUGCACUCUGCCAUGGUCUUUGGAUCUAGAUCAUUUUGAAGGUCCUCAGCAAUCUGCUCGGAGAAAUAUAUGUCGACAUUGGUAGCUUUUCUAUCAUAUGUUUCACCAGUCUCAACAUAGUUGAUGGCAAUUUCAUCAUUCCUUAGAGACUCAUCAGAAUUUCCCAAAUUGAUGUGUCUAGGAUUUUCCGAUGUCCCAGCCUCGGUUAUGUGCACAUCCGAGCUGGGUUGUGGAUCAUCACAAUCCACAUGAUACAUUGUAUCAUUUUGGUGUCCUUUUGCAUUCACUAUUGUUCUUUGCUUCUUGGCAACAGAACAGCGCUUAUUCACCAUACUUCUCCUCUCUAGGAGUUGAGUGGCCUUAUUCGGUACUUCCACUCUUUCUGGUGCAUUCCUAGCAGGAAUGAAUGAUUUAGUGACACCUUUGUAAUUAGUGAAUGCAUCUGGCAGUUCAUUUGCAAGUCUUUGCAAAUGUAUAAUUUUCUGAACUUGCAGUUCAGUUUCUGAAGUACGUGGAUCAGAACCUGGAACACAUUGAGUAUUCCAAUUUAUUUCCUGGCAUUCUUUUUGGUACUUAAAUUCUCCCCCUAAUGCCGGGAAAUGUUCCUCAUCAAAAAUAGAGUCAGCAAAACGGGCUGUAAAUAGAUCCCCUGUUAAGGGUUCUAAAUACUUAAUGAUCGACGGAGAUUGAAAUCCCACAUAGAUCCCCACUUUCCUGUGUGGGCCCAUAGCUGUUCUCUGAGGUGGUGAGAUUGGAAUGUAUACACAACAUCCAAAUUUGCGCAAAUGGGAAAUACUUGGAGGAUUUCCACGUACCAUUUGUAUUGGGGAUGUUGAAUGGUAUGCAGUUGGUCGUAAUUGUAUAAGGUCAGCAGCGUGCAGAACUGCAUGACCCCAACACGACGAAGGCAAUUUGCAAUUCAUCAAUAAUGGCCUUGCUAUGAGUUUAAUCCUCUUGAUUAGUGACUCAGCCAAACCAUUCUGGGUGUGGACAUACGGUACCGAGUGCUGUACUUGAAUCCCCAGCGCCAUACAAUAAUCAUUGAAUGCCUGAGAUUUGAAUUCAGCAGCAUUGUCCAUUCGGAUUGAACUAAUCCGAUGUUCAGGAAAAUUUGCCUUUAACUUGAUAAUUUGAGAUAUUAUCUUGGCAAAUGCAUGGUUGCGUGUUGAUAGUAAACACACAUGUGACCAUCUAGUAGAUGUGUCAAUCAGUACCAUGAAAUACCUGAACGGCCCAGAAGUUGGUAUAAUUGGCCCACAAAUAUCUCCUUGAAUCCUUUCAAGGAAUUUAAGCGGUUCAGCUUUAAUUUUGAGAUAUGAUGGUCUCAAAAUAAGUUUCCCAGUUGCACAUGCGGUGCAAACAAAAUCCUGAGAUUUGGGAAAACUUGUUGUGGGCAAAUUAUGACCAAUUGAAUUGCCUGUAAUUUUCCUCAUCAUCCCUACGCCAGGAUGACCAAGUCGAUCAUGCCAAAUCUGGAAUGCAUCAACAUCUUGGAAAAUUACCUUGUAUGCAACAUGUGCAUUGCUCUUAAUAUAUGUAUAGUACAACCCCAUAACUUUUGGCAUUAGGCCCUCCGAUUGGAGGAUCAUUAGGCCCAUUAGGCCCUCCGAUUGGAGGAGGAAGAUGAGGCCGACGUGGCGGCCGGAUCGAGGGCCAUUAGGCCCUCCGAUUGGAGGAGGAAGAUGAGGCCACCCCAUUUGGGUGAUGGUCGGUGAAGAUGAUGCAGCCUCUCGGGGCAUCAACAGCGCGAGCAGGCUGCCCACGACGGGCAGCGAUGGUCCCGACGACCAUAGACACUGGUGGAGAUGGCGAACGACGAGCAACUGCCGCUGCAGGUGGCGGUGGUGCCUCCAAAUUGACGUCCAUAGGAGCGGAUGCAGACGAUCCCACGUCAACGACCGGCACCGGUGGCGACGGGGAUGCAGUGGGGAGUCCACACUCCACCACCGGCAGCGGAACCACCGCUGUCCAUCCAUGGAUAACACAGAAGUGCACAUUUUGCACUUGCACACGGCGUUCAGGGAUCGCGUGCACCGGUGGAAGCGCUGCGGCUUGCCCAACGGUGAACGCUUCCAACAUCGCAUCAUCAACAAUAUGAAGAACUUCGCGCAUACGGCGUAUGCGCAUGGAAACGGUAUGUUUCAUACCUUGCUGUUGAUGUGCAGAUCGAUCUUGCUGUUCUUGUCAAGAACCGCGUGUUCUUCCUCUUUCCCUACUCUGAUUUCUCCUUGAGACAGUGCUGAUAACGUAUUGUGGUCUAUUGCAGUGCUCAGUGGUGAAUCAGUGGAGAGACAGGAGAGAAUGAGACAAAUGGCAGGGAUGGUUUCUUUAUUGCAGACAGGGUAGUAUAUAUACAAGUGUUCCCAAGGGGUGUGUCCCUUAGAAAUAACUGUCACAUGGAUGGAUUAGAUCACAUGUACAAAUAUUUUGUAACAGUAUUAUCUUACAUUAGCCACAAUUCUCUUCCAUUUUACUAUGCCGAUGGUUGGCUCGUUGCUGACACUUUUGCCACAGAUCAGUACGCUGUCACUGGGCUGAGGUUAACAUAUUCCUUAAUUUUUUUAAUUCUUACCGUUAGCGUAGGCCCACCGCCCUACAGGAGCAGCAGGAUUGCAAUUGCAGCCUGGGCGGGGGCGUGGAGCACCAUAGCAGCAGGCUGGCAGUUGCAGACUGUGUGGGGCUCCAUUGUCCAUUCGCUUCAAUCCGUCAGGUUGUGCGAGAAAUCAGAAAUAGCAAGCCAACACGGGACACGCACAGGCACAUGCUCCCUCUGCCGAGUUCCCUUCCGAUUCAGAGCGCCGAGCGCCCGCCCGGCCCCACCUGUGCAUGCCGAAGUCCUGCACAGAAAAUAGUCUGUCCCUUGUCCGAAGCCCACACGGGCGAGCAGCACCAGCACCUCACGUCGUCACCCACAAAACCGGAGCAGAUUCCUAGGGUUUCCAACGUUUUAAAAUGGUCGGACGAGAAACCCGCGCAUGCAGAUCGUUUUUAACAGAUUCAUUUGUCUUCAAGGUUGGCAAAUCGUUUUUGACGGGCUGCUGCUGCUGCUGGCCGCGGCGGGAGCUUUUGCAGAGACGGGAGAGGGACCCGUGAGCCGUGACCUACGGAAGCAAAGCGCAUCGAUUCGAACCCGUGGGGCCACAAGCCACGUCCCGAUGGCCGCUCCAACGGCAGCACGGUUCCAACUGCGAAGCCACCGGCGUAGCGCCGUACGCACUGUAGACUGCGUCCGAGCGAUACGUGUCGCAUGAACGACGCAGCGAAACGCGCAAGUGUCCUGCGGCGUCAGCCAUGCAGUUGCAGUUGCAGGUCCCUCGCUGUGGCCGGCCACCUGCAGUCUGCUCCUCUCCGUGCUGGGUCACGCGGCCGGGUGGGCAGUACUGUCUGGCUGUCAGCUGUCUGCAUUGAUUGAACGGAGGAGGGCCAUGAACCUUCCAGAGUCCCCGCGCCAAACGGAGACAACCAACCAGCCCAGCAGCGAAUCCAGACUCCGUUGGGCCCGUCAGAUCUGCGGCUCCAUUCCUUUCAAAUCCAUCCCAAGUCUAAGGAAAUCAAGAUCAACAACAAAGCAGAGUAGCUCCAAGAACAUAACCUCUUUACGUCCUCUCCAACAACCUUUUUACGCCCUUUUCUUAUGGACAGGGAAUCCCGGCUCCCGGCAUAGAGAUGGGCUGGGAAAAAAAACUUCAAAAGCUUUGUCAACUAGAUCUCCAAAUAUUCCUAUAUAUAUAUAUAUAUAUAUAUAUAUUAUUAAAGCAGGAAGGAAACACGGCCUGAUAGCCCAUCCACGUCAGUCGAAUUAUCUUAGCCGUUCGAUUGUCAAUCGUUGGUUCCCAUGCUCUCUCGUGCGCCCAUGUGUCUUAUCUGGAGGCUUCUAGGUGACACUUCUUUCCUCCUCGCAUCCUCUCUCUCCAUCCUGACUCACGCUCCCUCCCUCCCUCCCCAAGCAUCCCUGCCCACCCACGGCUCCGGCGACAGCGGCCGCCGUUUUGGACUCCAGAUCUGGCCGCCAUCGCUGCAACGGUCCAGGUAAGCGGCUAAUCUGCUCCGUUGUGCCCUGCUCUGCUCCUAGUCCUAGCGACGCAAGGGUUUUGGUUCAGUUUUUUUCCCUAGGGAAAAGGGAAGGGAAAAGCGAAGUGCAUGAAAUACAAAGAUUUGCUUUGGGAUUUUUUGGGGGCACUGCUAGUGUGUGUCGUGGCAUUGGAACGGAGUAAAAAGUGAGGGUUUGGUUUGGUAUUUUUGGAGCACUCCUGACUUAGUGUAUGUGUCGUGGUAUUUUAUUUCAAGAUCAAUCCAUUUGGUCCCCUAUUUUCUCAUGUCGGCUAAACAUUUUCCCUCUCUUGAUUUACAGCAUUAUUUCAGUGCAGUUUUGUUAACUCCUUUUUUCCUUUAGCAUGUCUUCAUUUAGUUUCUUAUUAUGCCCAUCCUUUUAUUUUUGACUAUGAAGCAGGCUUUCUGGAAUCACAUUUCUUGAGAACUAUCUGUUGGAGAGCUAAACUAGGCUCUUGUUCAUAUUAUGGAUCAGCAAGCUAAGAUUGAUGCUGAUUUUCUUGAACCAACUGUACUCUUAGAUGAGACACAUUACCAGGAGGGGUACAGAAAUGGCUAUAAUGAUGGUUUGGCAUCUGGAAAGGAAGAGGGGAGGCAGGUUGGUUUAAAGAUUGGUUUCCAGGUCGGUGAAGAACUGGGUUUCUUUCAGGGCUGUCUGGAUGUGUGGACGUCUGCAAUUCUCAUUGAUCAGAAUGCCUUCACAGCUCGGGUCAGGAAGAAUAUCGAGCAACUGGCUGCACUGGUGGGCAGCUAUCCGCUGUCCGAUCCGGAGAAUGAACAAAUUCAAGACGUGAUGGAGAAGAUAAGGCUGAAAUUCAGGGUCAUCACUGCAAGCUUAGGGGUGAAGUUAGAGUAUGAAGGGCACCCCAAAUCAUCUAAACAGGAUGUUGAGGAUCUGUGAGCGGUGAUUGAAAUUACAUUUUAGUUUCUCCGCCCUUGCUGUUUAAAGCUCUUCAACUCAUUGGCAUCAUGAGGAACUGCCGUGAGACAUCAAUGGUCAGAGUCCGACCAUAACCACAUAUAUAGUUUUAACAAUGUCUCAAGUUUUGUGUUAUUAUCUGUUGUCUGCCAUAUGUAAUAGUUUCCUUUUAGAAGGCAAAAGCACUUCCUUCCCAUUUUCUUUGAAGUACUUGUAUUCCUAUAGUCCAUUCCCGAUUUCUUUUUCGCCAAUUACAAAGACAAAGAUACCAAGCCGAAGUGCUAAAUAAGAUAUAGACAACUCGUCGAAGGACUUUGCCAAUGAGGAUUUAGGGACUGGUACCUCACUUGCAGGCUACGCCAUAAACAUGAGGGCUAAUGAUGUAGGCGUUCGACAGUCGGACACCGUCCAGGCUCAGACUCGAGAACCCAGCAUCUCGGAUGCUCUGUCCGGUUCUCCUGGUGAGGUGGCAUCCGUCCGCUACGAAUUGCUGCAAGGGAUCAAGCGCACCUUGAACCAAGCGGAGCAACGUACCAUCUGUGUCACGGACAAGAAGCAGCAGCUGAAUCAGCUGUUAGACCGAAACUCUUUUAGGAAAGAAAAACAAAUCCAUAUACCAUAUACAAAUGGAUGAUACAUAUAUCAUAAAGAAGGAAUAUGGAGCAGGUAGUCAGUAUCGAACCCGUAACCCCAAGGUUAUGAGCUUUGUGAGCUACCAAACUGCUCCACCUUCUUAGCGGGAAACUAGUGGGUUGGAUAGGCCCCUCUACCAUAUCUAUACAAAUAGAAUAGUCCAUUUAUACAGAAUGGUAAAGAGGGCUCUUCUACGAUCAUCAAUUCGAGAAAACCAUACAAAUAUGAAAGAAAGGGUAUUUUAUCCUUACCAACUGGAUCUUGUUGCACCCGGUAACAAACAUGCAUAAACCAUUUCUCGAAGUAUGUGUCCGGAUAGCCCAAAGUCUCGAUAGUUAGCUCUAGGUCUUCCGGUUAAAAAACAACGUCGAUGAAGGCGUGUAGGUGCACUAUUACCCGACAAUAUCAACAACCAGCUCUGAUAACACUUUCACGGUGCUUCUAU